AGAGUUUGAUCAUGGCUCAGGAUGAACGCUGGCGGCGUGCCUAAUACAUGCAAGUCGAACGAGGUACUUUUGUAGCAAUACGAAAGUGUCCUAGUGGCGAACGGGUGAGUAACACGUUGGUGACCUGCCCCAAAGUGUGGGAUAACAGUCCGAAAGGAUUGCUAAUACCGCAUGUGGUCUUCGGGUUUAGAAACCGAUGACUAAAGCAGUAAUGCGCUUUGGGAGGGACCUGCGUCCCAUCAGCUAGUUGGUGAGGUAACGGCCCACCAAGGCUACGACGGGUAGGGGACCUGAGAGGGUGGCCCCCCACAAUGGAACUGAAACACGGUCCAUACACCUACGGGUGGCAGCAGUAGGGAAUAUUGCUCAAUGGGCGAAAGCCUGAAGCAGCAACGCCGCGUGUGCGAAGAAGGCCUUCGGGUCGUAAAGCACUUUUCUGAGAGAUGAGAAAGGACAGUAUCUCAGGAAUAAGUCUCGGCUAACUACGUGCCAGCAGCCGCGGUAAUAC
rnacentral:rRNA from 1 species